rnacentral:rRNA from 1 species
AUGGAGAGGAAAGCAGGGCCAAACACCAUAAAGAUUAAUGCCUUUUCUAAGCCGGUUACUUCAAGUUCUCAACCUACUGAAAUUGUUAGUGAGGCGGAUGUGCAAGUUACAAAUCCGAGUCCAGUUAACACUUCUGAUCAGGAUAUGCCGGACAUGGUAAAUGUUGUAGAACAAGCAGAAGUUAUAACCACACCUUCUCAGAGAGACCUCGGCAAGCGUUGUCAAAUUUGGGAGCUCCCACCGGACAAGCAAGAUGAUGCUCAGAAUUUUUAUAUAUCUAAGGGAGCAUAUCGACCGGAGUUGGAAGAGUACCCAUUUGAUGAAAAUUCUAAACACCGUCGUCGAUUUCAAAAAGAUUGGUACACAAAUUUCUGGUGGCUUGAGUAUUCAACACACAAUGAUAACGCAUAUUGUUUGUCGUGCUUCUUCUCAAAAGAACCUGUUGGGAGAUGUGGGUCUGAUACAUUCUCGGUCAAGGGUUUUAGAAAUUGGAAGGUUAACGAUGGAAAAACAUGUGUUUUUUAAACUCAUGUUGGGGGCCCGCACUCUGCUCACAACUAUUCCGCUCGGUGCUAUGAAGAUCUCAAGACCAGUAUGGCUCAUAUCGACAAGAUGAUGGAAAAGAAAAAUGAGAAAGUAGCUACUAAUGCGAGAUUGAGGCUUAAGACUACCAUCGAUGCCAUGAGGUGGCUGAUAUUCCAAGCUUGUUCUUUUAGAGGUCAUGAUGAAUCUGCGAGGUCUAAAAACCAAGGAAAUUUUCUUGAAACGGUUAAGAUUCUUGCUUCAUACAAUAAGGAUGUCGCGGGAGUUGUUCUGGAAAAUGCUCCAGGUAAUGCAAAGUAUACAUCCGGAGAAGUUCAGAAAGAGAUUGUUGGCAUACUUGCUAUAGAAGUGCAAAAGGCAAUUAGAGAAGAAAUAGGUAAUGCCAAGUUCUGUAUAAUGGUUGAUGAACCUCGGGGUGAAAAAAAAGAACAAAUGGCAAUUGUUCUUCGGUUUGCCAACAAAGAAGCAGAAAUAAUUGCGUGUUUCCUUGAUCUAGUUCAUGUUAAUGACACUGCUGCCUUAACUUUGAAAAAUGCAAUCUGUAAUGUACUGUCAGAUAAUAACAUGAAUGUACAAGACAUCAGGGGCCAAGCAUAUGACGGUGCAAGUAAUAUGAGAGGGGAGUGGAAUGGAUUGAAGGCUCUUAUUCUCUGUGAGUGUCCAUAUGCCUACUAUAUUCAUUGUAUGGGUCAUCAAUUACAAUUGGCGCUUGUUGCUGCAUCACGAGAGGUACAUGAGGUACAUAACUUCUUUAAGAAUGCAAAUUUUGUAAUAAAUGUUGUUAGUGCUUCUAGAAAGCGCAACGAUGAGCUGCCAGCGAACCAAGCGGAGGAAAUUUCUCUCUUAAGAGGUAUAGCAAGUGACCGUUCAGUCUCAAAAUAUUCUCGUGGAGAUGUCAUUGGAUCCCUUAAAAUUGUCAUAUCAUUUGAUUUCGUGUUCAUUCUACAUCUGAUGGAAAAGAUUAUGAAGAUCAGUGAUGUGUUGUGUCAGAAACUCCAAUACAAAUCUUUAGAUAUUUUAAAUGCCAUGGAUUCUGUUUCUAACACAAAGGUCCUACUGGGUGAGCUAAGGGAACAUGGUUGGGACUCUCUUUUAAAUGAGGUCAAAUCUUUUUGUGUGAAGCACGAGAUUGAUAUCCCAGAUUUGGAACGCAACAACACAACAACGCUCCACCACUACAAAGUUGAUGUUUUCAGUGUUGCAAUUGAUCAACAACUGAGUGAACUGAAUGAUCAAUUCAGUACACAAGCAACUGAGCUCCUUACUCUCUGUUCAUCAUUGGAUCCAAGGCAUCCAAUGGUUGACAGGUUGUUGCGACUAGUUAUCACUCUCACAGUCUCAACGGCAACUGCAGAGCGGGCUUUUUUGGCUAUGAAAAUUGUCAAGGCACGUCUUUGAACUAAAAUGGGAGAUGAUUUGCUUUGCCAUUGCAUGAUAAUUUACAUAGAAAAAAAAUAG